UUCGGACGAGGAACCAAGCUCAUAGCUACUGAUGGAGAUCUUGCUACACCUGCUGUGACUCUGUUCCCUCCAUCCACUGAAGACCUCAAGUCCAGCAGAGCAACACUGGUGUGUCUGACUAGUAACCUGUCUCAGAAGUCCAAGGGGUUGGCAGAUGUCAGCUGGAUGUCUAACAGUGAAUCAGUGACAGAAGAUGUUUCUACCAGCCCUGCUGAGCAGCAACCAGACAAAACCUUCAAGAUCAGCAGCUAUCUGACCAUUCAGACUGCAGACUGGGACAAGGACCUGCUGUUCACAUGUAAAGUGUCGUUGGGGUCAACAUUCUCUGAGAAAGAGAUCAGAAAGACUAGUUGUAGUCUGUAAAUCAAUAGUUUCAGACAAUCAAUACAACUGGUAGUUUGUUAUAGCUUCACAGCGAGUGCAGCUGUUAUUUUGUUAGAACGUUUAAGUUGUGUUUUGAUCCUUGCUUUGCUGUUAAAUAUAGAAGUUAAAAUCCUAACAACAUGGAUGAUAUUGGGCUGAAGUCUGAAUGCAGCAGUGAAUAGUAUGACAAUAACCAAUGUAAUGUCAAAUAGUUGUUGAGGGUUGUUUCUCAUGACAAGUUACUAUUGAUGCAUUCACUGUACCUGCAUCAUGUUCUCUUCAGAAAAUGGAGGCCGGUGUUCUAGUCUGAAAUACCUGGAUGCUUCUCUUUCUCUCCGCCUAACUUCUGUAACUUUCUCUCCCUCCUCUGUGUCUCUAAGUGUCCCUAGUUCCACUCCACAUCCCUCCAUCCUCCUCUAUCUUGGUUCAAUAGUUUCCAGAUUCCACCUCAUUCAGUGCUGUGAAAAAUUCUGCCUACAUUUCCAUCAUAAUAACCACAGGCUCUUCAAUGUAAGGCUACAGUCAACUGUUAGGUCAUCUCUGGUUGGUCACAAUCCUUCUUAUGAUAAUA